rnacentral:tRNA from 1 species
GCCCCCUUAGCUCAGCUGGAUAGAGCAAUCCCCUCCUAAGGGAUAGGUCGAAGGUUCGAAUCCUUCAGGGGGCG